GGAUGGAACUAGUAGAAACCAUCUUGAGUGAGGUCACCCAGUCACAAAGACAAAAAUGGGAAUGGAGAGAAACAGGCUUCCUGAAUGCUUCACUGCCGGAGGGAGUGUCUCAGUUUCUCAGGAACUGAAAGGCACACUGUGCUUCAAAAACCAUGGACUCUAACUGGAAACACCUAUGAUGCAUGCCUCUCAAGGCCAUGAGACCAGAGUAACCCAUGAUUCCUGGCAGUUUCCCAUGCAGUACAUGAUAUCCAGGACUGUUUUCUAUGUGGUAACAUGACCUAAAGGACUGCUUUUCAGGCAGGUACAUGAUAUCCCGACUCCAUCAAAGUGGUUGUAGGAUAUCCAGAACUGGGUCCCAUGCUUUUAUAUAAUAUUCAGGAUGGCUCCCAAUGUGUUUCCCACAAAUCCUUGAUGCUUACCAUGUGGUACAUGGUAUCCAGAAAUUGUUCCUAUAUGGGUUCAUAAUAUCCAGGACGUCUUCCCAUGCAAGUACAUGCUAUGCAUGACUGCUUCUUAUAUGGGUACACCAUACUGAGGACAGCUUACCAUGGGUGAUCAACAAAUCCAUGCCGCCUCCCAUGUAUGUAAAACAUGCUCAGGACUUCUUCCCUUGCAUGUACUACAUAUUUAGAACCCCUUCCCAUGUAAGUACAUAAUAUUCAGAGCCAAUUCUCCAGGUAUAAGGUAUCUAUGGUACAAGAUUUCUAUGCCUUUUUUCUAGUUGGGUACAUCAUGUCCAGGACGUGUACAUAAUUUAUUUAGGUCUCAUUCCCAUGGGAACACAUGGUAUUCAGGACUGUUUCCUAUGCCAGUGAAUGACAUCAGAGACACUGGUCAGGCCUGUGCAUGUAUCCAUGCCUGCUUCCCAAUGUGGUUCUUGAUACUCAGGACUGCUUUUAUACAAUAUAUUGGGCUGCUUCCAAUGUGGUUCCAACAGAUCCUGCAAUGAUUACCACGUGGGUACAAGAUAACCUGGACCUCUGAACUGAAGAUUAAGAAGUUAGAACCCCAAAUCACACAGCAAGUUGUCCAAAGUGCCAGAGCUAUGGUCUGUACUCAUGCCACCUGAUGUUAAAUCUUGGCUCCUAUUACCACAUUGGCAGGAUCACUAAUACUCAUGCUUUGGCUAACGUCAGGAUCUUUGUAGUAAAAGCUAAAGGCCACCAAGUUUCUUGUUUGUGGACUUGAAAUGGCUAUCAUUGGACUUUGAGAGCAAUUUGAUCCCAUUUUUUGUCCCAUGAUGAAUUUAAAUUGAAAAAAUCAUAAAGGGUAUUGUACUGGUUGGUA